UACAGAGGGUGCGAGCGUUAAUCGGAAUUACUGGGCGUAAAGCGUGCGUAGACGGUUAUGUAAGUUAGGUGUGAAAGCCCCGGGCUCAACCUGGGAAUUGCAUUUAAGACUGCAUAGCUAGGGUGCGGAAGAGGGAAGCGGAAUUUCCGGUGUAGCGGUGAAAUGCGUAGAUAUCGGAAGGAACAUCAGGGGCGAAGGCGGCAUCCUGGCUCUGUCCUGACGCUGAGGCGCGAGAGCGUGGGGAGCAAACCGG
rnacentral:rRNA from 1 species